rnacentral:lncRNA from 1 species
UUUCUUUCUUUCUUUCUUUCUUUCUUUCUUUCUUUCUUUCUUUCUUUCUUUCUUUCUUUUUUUUCUCCUUUUGCUAGUGAAGGAGAAUUGGAUUGGUUAUUUUCAGAACAGGCAGCCUAAAUUGAUGCACAAAUCAGUAGCAUCCUUUUUGGAGUGGCCAUCACAUGAAUUCUUUGGAGAUCUCUGAAGAAAACAGAAAGAAACUGAAAUGGCAUGAAUGAAUUAAUCGUGCCAGAUUCUCCAACACUUCCUCAGGAGACCCUAUUGCUCUGAUCAAGAAGUUCCAUCAGCACCGAAGAAAACAGCAGUCCCGGAUAACCACCAUCAACUUUCCGUUUCCAUGAAUUUGAUUACUUUGGAUACCUCAUGUCCACAGUAGCUCUGCAUAUUUACUGGUUACAUGAAAUAUUUUGAUCCAGGCAGAAGAGCCCCAUCCCAUGGCCACCAUCACAACAGGCCCAUUGGAGGUACUAGCGCGGUACCACUGAUAUUCCCACAAGGCUCAAGUGCUCCUCAUUCAGUUUUGGCUUCUGGCCCUGUGGCUGGAUGGGAGAAGAUCUGUGACACUCCCUGGAGACCUAUUCCCCAUUGUCUUGGUGAUUAACAUUCAGCUCCUUGUUACUUAUGCAAAUUUCUGUAGCAGGGGUAAAGAGGUUGCUGACGUAUGAUGAAGUAGAGUGAGAAAAUCACGCAUCUUGUAAAUUCCCAUUUUUUAAAAAGUCAUAGAAAAUAAAUGUCUUCUGAGAAUGAAUUUUUGAAAUGGCAUUGUUAGACUACUUCUGAAAGUGACACCAGAAGUGACACAUUGACAUUUGUUCAGUGGACAUGGAGCAGAAGACUUAAGGAGGAAGAGAAGGUGGUUCUAUGCCAGACUGGUCAUAUUUAGAAGUCAUUUUUAUAUCAUAACCAUUGUUUUUUGUGUGCAUUUUAUUCCUCACUACUGUAUAUAUGAUUGACAAUGCUAAAUACUUUUUUGAAUUAUCUAUUUUUUCUAGAUAUCCUGAAGUGCCUUAUAUGUGUUAAAAUUAGAGGUAGUAAAAUAACAUAUUUUCCAAUUACAUUUUUGUUAAAAUUUACAUGAAAUGUUGCUUUGUGGAGGAAAUGACCAAACCACUUUUUGAGUAAUACAUAUUAGGUUUGUGCACUAGUUCAGGGGAAGAGGAAGGAGGAGGAAGUGUACAGAGCUUCAUGCCAGUGUGCUUACAGUAAGGUAAACAUGGUAAACCCUGUCUCUACUAAAGAUAAAAAAAUUAGCCAGGUGUGGUGGUGGGUGCCUGUAAUCCCAGUUACUCAGGAGGCUGAGGCAGGAGAAUCACUUGAACCUGGGAGGCGGAGGUUGCACUGAACCAAGUUUGCACCACUGAACUCCAGCCUGGGCAACAGAGUGAGACUUGGUCGCAAAAAAAAAAAAA